GGCUGUCCCCAGCUCUGCCACUGGCCGGCUGGGUGACUCUGCACAAGACACUGCCCAUUCUGUGCCUCAGUUUCCCCCUUGCCCUUUGUUUAGAUUGUGAGCUCAUUGGGGCAGGGACUGUAUUUCAUUCUGGGUGUGGGCAGCCCCUGGCACAAUGAGGGCCCCCCAAUAUCUCAGCUGGGGUCUGGGUAGCCACUGGCACAAUGUGGGUCCCCUGAUCUCUCAGCUGGGGUCUGGGUAGCCCCUGGCACAAUGGGAGCACCCCAACAUCUCAGCUAGAGUCUGGGUACCCCUAACACAGUGGGAGCACCCUGGUAUCUCAGCCAGGAUCUGGGUAGCCCCCGGCACAAUGGGGGCCCCCCAAUAUCUCAACUGGGGUCUGGGUAGCACCUGGCACAGUGGGAGCACCCUGAUAGCUCAGCUGGGAUCUGGGUAGCCCCUGGCACAGUGGGAGCACCCCAAUAUCUCAGCCAGGAUCUGGGUAGCCCCUGGCACAAUGGGGACCCCUGAUAUCUCAGCUGGGGUCUGGGUAGUCCCUGGCACAGUGGGAGCACCCUGAUAUCUCAGCUGGGGUCUGGGUAGCCCCUGGCACAAUGGGAGCACCCUAGUAUCUCAGCUGGGGUCUGGAUAGCCCCUGGCACAGUGGGACCACCCCGAUAUCUCAGCCGGGAUCUGGGCAGCCUCCAGCACAAGGGGGCCCCAAUCCUGGUUAUGGUCUCUAAGGACAGUAGGAUCGGCCAGUAAUACACCAAUUUGCACCAGCUGAAGAUCUGGACGUGAAGUUACACCAGAAUCUUCCCCACCUGCGACCCCUCCAGGCCUGGCUGUCGAUUGCCCCUGAGUAAGAGCAGGCACCCUGGGCUGCUGGGUGCAGGGCUGGCCUGGAGCAUUUACCCUGGCACACGUACGUCCCCUUGGGCUGGUCCGCGCCAGAGCCCAGCCCUGACCUCAAACCCGCCUCCCUGGGCCCGAUACCGGGGGAUUCUCCGGCCUGUUCUCUGGAGGUGGAGGAGGGCGACCACGCUGCCCAAUGCCAGCUCAAACCUGGCAUUUCAUACCCCCCGCCCCAAACACCUGCAUCCCCAUCGCCCUGCGCCCUGCAGAGCAGUCCCCAGGCUCCCGGCAGGAGAAAGGGGGAGGGGCAGUUGGAGGGACCUGGCACGAAUUGUGGGAACUCAGGUUUGCCAUCGCGGCGAGGUCAUUCUCCCACCUCGUGCACUGUUCUCGCGAGGGGCGGGUCCCCCGUCUGAGGCCCGUCUCUCACCCCCUGCCACCGGCCUGUGAUCACUUACCGGGGUGGGGGCCUUGGAAAUGACAAUAAACAGGAUUUUAUUUAUGAA